GGAUUGAGUUAUAACGGGUAAAUAGACGUUGAGUGAGAAGUUAAAGUAAAGAAGAGAUUGGAUUUGGAAAUUGAGUUCUGACUAAGGUUUGUUUUAUCACAUGAACCUUCGAUGACGAUGACGAUGUGAUGAUGACAUAUGAAGGCCCGAGCGAGACGAAGAAGUAAGUUGCCUGAUUUCUUUCCAGAAUAAGCGAAGGACUUCAGGCUAAGCGAGGAGCGAGAUUGGUCUGGUGCUAGUGGGGGAAACGUUUCAAUCGAUGUAAUUAUGUUUUCGUAUUGCCUUCAUGUUAAUAGAGUCUUGAGGAUUGAGAUACUUUGUUUUCUUUUGAAAUCAAGCAAUUUACUCACGGUUAUGUGUCUUCAUACAUGUAAUCGAUUCGCCUUUUGCUGCGAUACUCUGCAUUUUAUGAUUCCUUAUGAAAAAUGAGCUAUACCCGUUUUGUUUU